CGAACUGCGAUACGUAAUGUGAAUUGCAGAAUUCAGUGAAUCAUCGAAUCUUUGAACGCACCUUGCGCUCCUUGGUAUUCCUUGGAGCAUGCCUGUUUGAGUAUCAUGAAAUCUUCAAAGUAAAUCUUUUGUUAACUCAAUUGGUUUCUACUUUGGUAUUGGAGGUCUUUGCAGCUUCACACCUGCUCCUCUUUGUUCAUUAGCUGGAUCUCAGUGUUAUGCUUGGUUCCACUCGGCGUGAUAAGUUAUCUAUCGCUGAGGACACUGUAAAAGGUGGCCAAGGUAAAUGCAGAUGAACCGCUUCUAAUAGUCCAUUGACUUGGACAAUACUUUUAUGAUCUGAUCUCAAAUCAGGUAGGACUACCCGCUGAACUUAAGC
rnacentral:misc_RNA from 1 species